rnacentral:lncRNA from 1 species
GAACACCAAACUGGGGCAGAAAGAAUUUCUUUGUUUUGUUUGUUUUAUUGCGACCACGAACACAGGACGCAGUCCCAGGGAAUACUUUUCAAGUUUCAUGUUUUGGUAAUCAAGCACCCACCUGGAGAACAAGAGAAUACUUUCCAAGUUUCAAGUUUUGAUAAUCAGGCGCCCACCUGGAGAAGAAGGAAAUAUAUUUCCAAGUUUCAAGUUUCGGUAAACAAGCGC